GUCAAGAUAAUCCCUGCUCCACUGACGUCCGUAGUAGAAGACCCAUCUGCAUACAGCGUCCAUGAACUCUCCUUCUGCUGAAGAACGGCAACUACUCUGUCAGAUCCUUCAGCCUCGGCCACGACUUCAUCAGCUUCAGAAAACGAGCACUCAACCACAAAAUCAGCCAAGGCUUGACCUUUGAUGGCGGUUCGGGGAUGGUAUUCAAUAAAGAAUUGGGACAACUCCAUCGUCCAUG
rnacentral:lncRNA from 1 species